rfam:Erinaceus europaeus unplaced genomic scaffold scaffold00035, whole genome shotgun sequence
UUAGAGUUUUGAUGCUGACGUCCCCAUGGUGCCCAGUGUGCAAUGGCUGUGAACAGAGCCUCCUGGGCAGGGUAUGCAGCCUAUUGCUUGUGUAGGCUCCUCUAAGGGACCCUACUUCAUGC